rnacentral:sRNA from 1 species
UGAAUUUAAUUCUGGUAUGACAUACUGUAUUAAUGUUACCUCCAGUAAAUACAAUUCCCUCCAGAUUUAGCUAUUACACUUCGGUGUUAGCUCUUGGUCAGUGUUUUAGAACAGUAGACAUAGUCUACGGUAAGGAAUAGUCUUAAUUGGUAAAACUAAGAUAGCUGAAUUUGGAAGGAACUCUUUAAUAGUAAUGGAUUUGGGGAUUUUUUAGGUUCCUUGGUUAAUGUUUGUUUCUUUUGUCUGUUUCUUUUUCUUUCAUUUCUACACAUUCAUGCAGUAUUUCAUGGUUCUAUCAAAGCAGCAGUAAAAAAAAUACUCUUGACGCAUGAAAAUUAACUGGUGAGGGGCCUCAUUGCUAUUUUUAAAUUGUAGUUUUAUUUUUAAAUAGUCUUUUUUUAAUCAGAGGAUCAGAUGCAUGACUUUUUUUUUUUUAAUGGAUGCAGAUCUUCUAUCAGGUGUCUCACAAUAAAUUCAAGAGGAUUUUAGUUUGCCAGAAAUGUUGCAAAUGCACUAAUUUGAGUAAGAUGUUGAUACUGAAUAUAUCCUCUUGAGACAUAAUUUUGCAUGCAAAAUUAUCCCAUAAUCUUUGUAGGUUUGUUAAUAUUGAUGCAUUACUGCCCUAUAUCUAAAUGAUCUUCUCCCCCUUCCCCUCCAUAACUCUUGGUAUCUAAAUUGAUGACAGCUCUGACACAAGCAAGAUAACAGUGCUGUGUAGUAUACAUUUGUUUAUAUUAUCGGCACUUCUCAGUAUAGGUGGAAGGAACCAUUACCUUUAUUUAACAGUGGUUUUUCUUUUUUGUUGUUGUGUUUUACAGUUCUUUUCCCUGGUUCAGCCUGAACUAUAUACCAGGCCCUGCUGAAAAUACCACCCAACAGUUUUCUUCUGCAGCUUAUCCAGUUUCUCUUAAGUGCCCUGUACAUAUUGUAUGUUUUAUGAUGAGAUGCAGUUUCUUAAUAUGUAUUACAGAAAUACUACUGGUAUUUGCAAAUAUGUAGUUUAAUUGUAUUAUUGAACUCUCAUUUUGGGGGCUUGGGCACAUUAACAGAUUAAUCCAUCUGUAUAGGGCUUUUGCUGUUGGAUAGAAUUUAAAUUGUCUACAUAAAUAUUUGUUUUAGGACCCUUAGAUUUUAUCUGAAUACACAGAUUAGGCUUUAAAAACAGAUAUAUAUGUCAUUUUUGGCUUAAGGAGUUUGGCUAAGUUAGCUUUUCAACUGGCACUGUAUGGCAGCAUUUUUUGGUAUGGUUAGCAUGGCACAUGGCGAAACAUAAAGCAUUUUACUGUACAGGUAAGGAAUGUGCCAUGUUGUUUUACCUAUCUCUCUUUCUCUCUCACUCCCAUGCACACAUCCUGUGUGUAUUCAGAGACCUUCAGAAACAUUCAUAUUCAUUUUCAUGAGUCAGCAAAAGCCCUACGCUUGAUUCCAACAGAAUAUUUCCUUUACAUACUUUCUUCUCUUAAUUUUUACAAAAUUUGUAUGGUAGGUGUAAAAGAAAAUCAUAGUAACUGUACCAUAUUAUUAACCCCUAAAUCAAACUUUUUUUGUCUUGUGUAUCUUGAUUUUUCUGUGUGCUUUAUAGUGAAGCAGCCGACACGAGUCGUUGUUCAUAAAACAGCUUUUGAAAGUUGAGAGCACACCCCUGGAGAACCGACUGUGCUUGCUUACGUUUGGUUCAUGACUUAAAAAUCGAGUACAGGAGUUAUUCCUGAUGAAGCUAAAGCUUUGUCUCUGUUGGCACCAGCUAAUGCAGUGGCAGGUCUUCUGCCUGGUGGUGGACUCCUGCCUACUCCUAACCCACUUACCCAGAUUGGCGCUGUUCCACUGGCUGCUUUGGGGGCUCCUACUCUUGAUCCUGCCCUUGCUGCACUUGGGCUUCCUGGAGCAAACUUGAACUCUCAGUCUCUUGCUGCAGAUCAGUUGCUGAAGCUUAUGAGUACUGUUGAUCCCAAGUUGAAUCAUGUAGCUGCUGGUCUCGUUUCACCAAGUCUGAAAUCGGAUACCUCUAGUAAAGAAAUAGAGGAAGCUAUGAAAAGAGUACGAGAAGCACAGUCCCUAAUUUCUGCUGCUAUAGAACCAGAUAAGAAAGAAGAAAAAAGAAGGCAUUCAAGAUCAAGAUCACGUUCUAGGAGGAGGAGGACUCCCUCAUCUUCUAGACACAGGCGGUCAAGAAGCAGAUCGAGACGGCGGUCACAUUCUAAGUCUAGGAGUCGGCGACGAUCCAAAAGCCCAAGGCGAAGAAGAUCUCAUUCCAGAGAAAGAGGUAGAAGGUCAAGGAGCACAUCAAAAACAAGAGACAAAAAGAAAGAAGACAAAGAAAAGAAACGUUCUAAAACACCACCAAAAAGUUACAGCACAGCCAGACGUUCUAGAAGUGCAAGCAGAGAGAGACGACGACGAAGAAGCAGGAGUGGCACAAGAUCUCCUAAAAAGCCUCGGUCUCCUAAAAGAAAAUUGUCUCGCUCACCAUCCCCUAGGAGACAUAAAAAGGAGAAGAAGAAAGAUAAAGACAAAGAAAGAAGUAGGGAUGAAAGAGAACGAUCAACAAGCAAGAAGAAGAAGAGUAAAGAUAAGGAAAAGGACCGGGAAAGAAAAUCAGAGAGUGAUAAAGAUGUAAAACAGGUUACACGGGAUUAUGAUGAAGAGGAACAGGGGUAUGACAGUGAGAAAGAGAAAAAAGAAGAGAAGAAACCAAUAGAAACAGGUUCCCCUAAAACAAAGGAAUGUUCUGUGGAAAAGGGAACUGGUGAUUCACUAAGAGAAUCCAAAGUGAAUGGGGAUGAUCAUCAUGAAGAAGACAUGGAUAUGAGUGACUGAAUAUUGCCUCUGAGGGAAUCCAACUGUAUACCUGCAUCAGUGUCAUUCCUUUGUGUGAUUUCUUAAUGCUGUAUUUGUUCAUCUCAAACCUAGAUGUAUACAGCUCUGAGUUAUAAAUGGUUAUAAAGCUCCUGUUACUGAUAUUAGUUAUUUACAUCAAAAAGCUUUUAGAAAAUGGUACGAGGUAACCAAUUCUUGUCAUGGUGAAAUCUGAUUGAGUAACCAAGCAGUUUUACUAUUCUGGUGCUGCUUCAUAACAAAAAUGAAAAGCUGCAUGCAUCUACAGCAGGCAUGGAUUGUUUAUGUCGUAUGAUAUCCUUUAUUAAGUAAGUUCACUUAUAGUAUUUCUAUAAUUUGAUUCAUUGCCGUAAUAGAGCCAUGUAGGAAAUGCACUGAUUGCAUGUUAUUGUGGCAAGAAUAUCCUAAAUGUCAUUAAAAUCCUCCAACAUGAUGGAUCUACUUAUGGUCUUGUUUGUUGACAUGACAAAUUAACAUUCUUAUAGUUACAUCUGGAAAUGAGCAUUUGAAAUAGAUAAUCCUUUAAGCCUUGUGGCAAAAUUUUUGUGGCUUUUGUUUAACUUUGAAAGGUUAUUAUGCACUAACCUUUUUUGGUGGCUAAUUAGGGUUUACAUACAGAAACAAGAUUUCAAAUAAAACUGUCUUUGGCAGUGAGUAAAUAGCAUAUUUUGAAGUAGAGUUGUAUACUUUUUCAUAAGAUGUUUGGGAAUUUUUUUCCUGAAGUAAUAAUUUAUUCCACAUCUACAUCAGUGAAAGCUAUCUACCUAUCCUGAGUCUAUCUUAAAGGAAAAAAAGGAAGAAAAAAAAAACCUUAUCUCUUGCCCUUAUUUUGAAUUUUCCACUCUUUCAUUAAUUUGUUUUAAGCUCCGUGUUGGAAAAAAGGGGUAGUGCAUUUUAAAUUGACCUUCAUACGCUUUUAAAAUAAGACAAAUCUACUUGAUAAUGUACCUUUAUUUGAUCUCAAGUUGUAUAAAACCAAUAAAUUUGUGUUACUGCAGUAGUAAUCUUAUGCACACGGUGAUUUCAUGUUAUAUAUGCAAAGUAGGUAACUGUUUUCUUAGUUACAGAAGUUUCAAGCUUCACUUUUGUGCAGUAGAAACAAAAGUAGGCUACAGUCUGUGCCAUGUUGAUGUACAGUUUCUGAAAUUGUUUUACAAGACUUUGAUAAUAAAACCCUUAAA